CUUAGAGGUCCCUUACCGAAU
rnacentral:piRNA from 1 species